AUUCCCAGUCACCCACUCACUCAGAAAGCCGGGAGUCAUCGGACACCUUGCUGUUUUGAUCUCCGUCUUCCUGAUGAAGCAGGCAGAGCUCAGAGGAUCUUGGCAUCACCCACCAAAGUUAGCUGAAAGCAGGGCACUCCUGGAUAAAGCAGCUUCACUCAACUCUGGGGAAUGCUACCAUUUUUUUUCCAAAGUAGAAAGGAAGCACUUCUGAGCCAGUGACCACUGAAAGGAAGUUGCCCCACACACAGAUUGCCCCGAUGUCCAACCAGAAGAAGUGAAACUGCUGCUGGGUCUGGAGAGGUGAAGACCCGUGGCCAGCUUCUGUUGUUGCCAUCGGCCAUUGCUUUUUGUUCGCUUGCUUUUGGUUUUGCAAGAAGAGCGGCCUCUGUCUCUGAUCUGCUUCAAAUCAUCAUUCCAUCAGUGACAGAAGUGGCUGUUCCAUCAGUGGUCGCAGCCAGUUCAGCUCCUGCAUCCAUCCCCAAGUGUUCUAGUAAAACGACAAGGAAUAUCGGCCUGAAUUCUCUUCCCAAGAAGAAAGAAAGCACACCAACGCAGGCAUUUGUCUUCUGUCCAUGGUGCUGAAGUUUAUUCACUUUCAAACCACUUUCAGUAACAGGUCUGCGUUGGACACGGCAUUGUACAUGGGAUUAGCUCUGG
rnacentral:antisense_RNA from 1 species